rnacentral:rRNA from 1 species
ACGGCUCAGUAACACGUGGAUAACCUGCCCUUGGGUCCGGCAUAACCCCGGGAAACUGGGGAUAAUUCCGGAUAACGCACAUAUGCUGGAAUGCUUUAUGCGUAAAAUGGAUUCGUCUGCCCAAGGAUGGGUCUGCGGCCUAUCAGGUAGUAGUGGGUGUAAUGUACCUACUAGCCAACAACGGGUACGGGUUGUGAGAGCAAGAGCCCGGAGAUGGAUUCUGAGACAUGAAUCCAGGCCCUACGGGGCGCAGCAGGCGCGAAAACUUUACAAUGCGGGAAACCGUGAUAAGGGGACACCGAGUGCCAGCAUCAUAUGCUGGCUGUCCAGGUGUGUAAACUACACCUGUUAGCAAGGGCCGGGCAAGACCGGUGCCAGCCGCCGCGGUAACACCGGCGGCCCGAGUGGUGAUCGUGAUUAUUGGGUCUAAAGGGUCCGUAGCCGGUUUGGUCAGUCCUCCGGGAAAUCUGAUAGCUCAACUAUUAGGCUUUCGGGGGAUACUGCCAGGCUUGGAACCGGGAGAGGUAAGAGGUACUACAGGGGUAGGAGUGAAAUCUUGUAAUCCCUGUGGGACCACCUGUGGCGAAGGCGUCUUACCAGAACGGGUUCGACGGUGAGGGACGAAAGCUGGGGGCACGAACCGGAUUAGAUACCCGGGUAGUCCCAGCCGUAAACGAUGCUCGCUAGGUGUCAGGCAUGGCGCGACCGUGUCUGGUGCCGCAGGGAAGCCGUGAAGCGAGCCACCUGGGAA